rnacentral:rRNA from 1 species
GACAGAGGGUGCAAACGUUGUUCGGAAUUACUGGGCGUAAAGCGCGUGUAGGCGGCCCGGAAAGUCGGAUGUGAAAGCCCUGGGCUUAACCUAGGAAGUGCAUUCGAAACUGCUGGGCUUGAGUUCUGGAGAGGAAGGCGGGAAUUCUCGGUGUAGAGGUGAAAUUCGUAGAUAUCGAGAGGAACACCGGUGGCGAAGGCGGCCUUAGCUGGACCAGUGACUGACGCUGAGACGCGAAAGCGUGGGGAGCAAACAGGG